UCGCACCUACCGAUUGAAUGGUCCGGUGAAGACUCGGGACCGUGUUUGGAUGUCUUUAUUGAUGUCUGAUUAUGGGAACUUGUCUGAACCUUAUCAUUUAGAGGAAGGUG
rnacentral:rRNA from 1 species